UACGUAGGGGGCAAGCGUUAUCCGGAUUUACUGGGUGUAAAGGGUGCGUAGGCGGGAUGCCAAGUCAGCGGUAAAAAUGCGGUGCUCAACGCCGUCGAGCCGUUGAAACUGGCGUUCUUGAGUGGGCGAGAAGUAUGCGGAAUGCGUGGUGUAGCGGUGAAAUGCAUAGAUAUCACGCAGAACUCCGAUUGCGAAGGCAGCAUACCGGCGCCCUACUGACGCUGAGGCACGAAAGCGUGGGUAUCGAACAGG
rnacentral:rRNA from 1 species